AGGGUGUGCUCAGAGCAAAGGGCUUAAAGAAUGACUCCUUUGUUUACAACACGUCCAACAGAAAUCUGGAGCCAUUCUGAUAAGAAGCACAAUUGUGUCUUUUCUGUGAACAAAUUUUCUACACAG